AUUGAACGCUGGCGGCAGGCUUAACACAUGCAAGUCGAACGAUGACUCUCUAGCUUGCUAGAGAAGAUUAGUGGCGGACGGGUGAGUAACAUUUAGGAAUCUGCCUAGUAGUGGGGGAUAGCUCGGGGAAACUCGAAUUAAUACCGCAUACGACCUACGGGUGAAAGGGGGCGCAAGCUCUUGCUAUUAGAUGAGCCUAAAUCAGAUUAGCUAGUUGGUGGGGUAAAGGCCUACCAAGGCGACGAUCUGUAACUGGUCUGAGAGGAUGAUCAGUCACACCGGAACUGAGACACGGUCCGGACUCCUACGGGAGGCAGCAGUGGGGAAUAUUGGACAAUGGGGGCAACCCUGAUCCAGCCAUGCCGCGUGUGUGAAGAAGGCCUUUUGGUUGUAAAGCACUUUAAGCAGGGAGGAGAGGCUAAUGGUUAAUACCCAUUAGAUUAGACGUUACCUGCAGAAUAAGCACCGGCUAACUCUGUGCCAGCAGCCGCGGUAAUACAGAGGGUGCGAGCGUUAAUCGGAAUUACUGGGCGUAAAGCGAGUGUAGGUGGCUCAUUAAGUCACAUGUGAAAUCCCCGGGCUUAACCUGGGAACUGCAUGUGAUACUGGUGGUGCUAGAAUAUGUGAGAGGGAAGUAGAAUUCCAGGUGUAGCGGUGAAAUGCGUAGAGAUCUGGAGGAAUACCGAUGGCGAAGGCAGCUUCCUGGCAUAAUAUUGACACUGAGAUUCGAAAGCGUGGGUAGCAAACAGGAUUAGAUACCCUGGUAGUCCACGCCGUAAACGAUGUCUACUAGCCGUUGGGGUCCUUGAGACUUUAGUGGCGCAGUUAACGCGAUAAGUAGACCGCCUGGGGAGUACGGCCGCAAGGUUAAAACUCAAAUGAAUUGACGGGGGCCCGCACAAGCGGUGGAGCAUGUGGUUUAAUUCGAUGCAACGCGAAGAACCUUACCUGGUCUUGACAUAGUGAGAAUCUCUCAGAGAUGAGAGAGUGCCUUCGGGAACUCACAUACAGGUGCUGCAUGGCUGUCGUCAGCUCGUGUCGUGAGAUGUUGGGUUAAGUCCCGCAACGAGCGCAACCCUUUUCCUUAUUUGCCAGCGGGUUAAGCCGGGAACUUUAAGGAUACUGCCAGUGACAAACUGGAGGAAGGCGGGGACGACGUCAAGUCAUCAUGGCCCUUACGACCAGGGCUACACACGUGCUACAAUGGUAGGUACAGAGGGUUGCUACACAGCGAUGUGAUGCUAAUCUCAAAAAGCCUAUCGUAGUCCGGAUUGGAGUCUGCAACUCGACUCCAUGAAGUCGGAAUCGCUAGUAAUCGCGGAUCAGAAUGCCGCGGUGAAUACGUUCCCGGGCCU
rnacentral:rRNA from 1 species